CGGCAGCGACCCGACUCGGCAGCAUCAGUAUUCGGGAGGCGCUCGCAGCCAGUCUGGCGCGGGCUCUUCAAGGCCGCUGUCCUCAAAUGACCCUAGGGCCCUGGCUGCCCUUUCAGGUCGAGAGCGCUCACACAGCCUAGGGCGAAUGCGAGGGAGGAAAAUGGCAAACCCGGGGUUCCCUGAGCCUUCCUCCGGGGGGGACGUCACCACCCACUCACUUCCACUCCACGUCUCCCUCCCACCUUCCACACCUUCCCCUAGGCACUGUAGAGAGCGCUUGGUCCCAAUAGUUUAAGGGACUGCAGGCAAAAGGCGGCACGAAAAUUGCGCCGCAGAGGCAAAGGCUCAAGAUCACAGCCUAUGAACAGACAUACUGAGCAGGAGUUUAACUAGAAGAGGAAGGGUCAGAUGGGGAAACUGAGGCUCAUAAAGACAAAGAGAAUCUUGCCCAAGGCCACAUGAGGAGUUGUAGCAAACCAUUAAAAAUCUGCUUUUCCUGUUGUUUGCAUGAUGAAUAUGGGAAUAUGUUUAGAAGAAUUACACAUCUUUAGUCUACAUCAGAUUGCUUCCUGUCUAGGAGAGGAGGAGGAAGGGUGAAGUAAAGGAGAAAAUUUUGGAACACAAG